rnacentral:rRNA from 1 species
ACGCUGGCGGCGUGCCUAAUACAUGCAAGUAGAACGCUGAAGAGAGGAGCUUGCUCUUCCUGGAUGAGUUGCGAACGGGUGAGUAACGCGUAGGUAACCUGCCUUGUAGCGGGGGAUAACUAUUGGAAACGAUAGCUAAUACCGCAUAACAAUGGAUGACACAUGUCAUUUAUUUGAAAGGGGCAAUUGCUCCACUACAAGAUGGACCUGCGUUGUAUUAGCUAGUAGGUGAGGUAACGGCUCACCUAGGCGACGAUACAUAGCCGACCUGAGAGGGUGAUCGGCCACACUGGGACUGAGACACGGCCCAGACUCCUACGGGAGGCAGCAGUAGGGAAUCUUCGGCAAUGGGGGCAACCCUGACCGAGCAACGCCGCGUGAGUGAAGAAGGUUUUCGGAUCGUAAAGCUCUGUUGUAAGUCAAGAACGAGUGUGAGAGUGGAAAGUUCACACUGUGACGGUAGCUUACCAGAAAGGGACGGCUAACUACGUGCCAGCAGCCGCGGUAAUACGUAGGUCCCGAGCGUUGUCCGGAUUUAUUGGGCGUAAAGCGAGCGCAGGCGGUUUGAUAAGUCUGAAGUUAAAGGCUGUGGCUCAACCAUAGUUCGCUUUGGAAACUGUCAAACUUGAGUGCAGAAGGGGAGAGUGGAAUUCCAUGUGUAGCGGUGAAAUGCGUAGAUAUAUGGAGGAACACCGGUGGCGAAAGCGGCUCUCUGGUCUGUAACUGACGCUGAGGCUCGAAAGCGUGGGGAGCGAACAGGAUUAGAUACCCUGGUAGUCCACGCCGUAAACGAUGAGUGCUAGGUGUUGGAUCCUUUCCGGGAUUCAGUGCCGCAGCUAACGCAUUAAGCACUCCGCCUGGGGAGUACGACCGCAAGGUUGAAACUCAAAGGAAUUGACGGGGGCCCGCAC